rnacentral:rRNA from 1 species
GUGCCAGCCGCCGCGGUAAUACGUAGGGGGCAAGCGUUGUCCGGAUUUAUUGGGCGUAAAGCGCGUGUAGGCGGCCAUGCAGGUCCGCUGUGAAAACUGGAGGCUCAACCUCCAGAGGUCGGUGGAAACCGCAUGGCUAGAGUCCGGAAGAGGAGACUGGAAUUCCCGGUGUAGCGGUGGAAUGCGCAGAUAUCGGGAGGAACACCCGUGGCGAAGGCGGGUCUCUGGGACGGUACUGACGCUGAGACGCGAAAGCGUGGGGAGCGAACAGGAUUAGAUACCCCAGUAGUCC